rnacentral:rRNA from 1 species
UUUAUUGGAGAGUUUGAUCCUGGCUCAGGAUGAACGCUGGCGGCGUGCCUAAUACAUGCAAGUCGAGCGAAUGGAUUAAGAGCUUGCUCUUAUGAAGUUAGCGGCGGACGGGUGAGUAACACGUGGGUAACCUGCCCAUAAGAUUGGGAUAACUCCGGGAAACCGGGGCUAAUACCGGAUAAUAUUUUGAACCGCAUGGUUCGGAAUUAAAAGGCGGCUUCGGCUGUUACUUAUGGAUGGACCCGCGUCGCAUUAGCUAGUUGGUGAGGUAACGGCUCACCAAGGCAACGAUGCGUAGCCGACCUGAGAGGGUGAUCGGCCACACUGGGACUGAGACACGGCCCAGACUCCUACGGGAGGCAGCAGUAGGGAAUCUUCCGCAAUGGACGAAAGUCUGACGGAGC